rnacentral:lncRNA from 1 species
AGUACACCUCGGAGAAAGAACUACUGUUGUGUAGCGGGUUGGCAAAACCACAUACAAUCGAUUGAAAGGUCAGGCCAAGCUCUCGCUCUUCAACUGAGUAUGUGUUG